GGGUCUCUAUUUGGCGCUGACUAGACGGCUGAGGUUGAAGGGUGGGGCCUAGACCAGUUUUCUCUGGGCAGCCCGCUGAGCCCGGAGCUCCUUUACUCCCAACCUCUGUAGGAGGCGCUGGGGGUGCGAGAGGCAUGGGGCUCCUGAUCCUCGCUGCUAUGGGUACCCAACGGUACCCCCUUCUAGGAGACAAACAGCCCUUGCCUGUAGCAGCCUGAGGGCCGCCACAGUGUUUUCCUUUCAUAACUGGAAGAUGAUGGGAGGGGGAGGACGUGGCCUCACCCCUGCCUUUCCCCUCCAGCAGUUCUCAUUCCCUCUGAAAGCCCAAGAGCAGCAUUGCUUAGCUCUGUGGGGUUUAGAGCAGGGUAGGGUUUUUUUUGCUAUUUAAGAACUGACCUUAAAUGAGGAAAUGCAGUGCAGUCCAUGGAUAGUGCACUGGACUGGGAGCCAGGAGACCUGGGCUCUGUUCCCAGCUCUGCCCCUGAUGAGCAUGUGGAAGUAAUGCUUUCUACCAUCUCCAAUGGGCUAAGAGACUCAUUCCAUCCUGGGGCACAAUGAUCUGACCUCAGCUGUUCCGGCUUUUGUCACCUCUCAGCUGGGCUACAAUAAUGUGAUGUAGCUGGGCAUGAAGCCUUCAGCUCCCAGGAAACUCCAACUAGUAUAGAACAUUGCAGUGCAUCACUUCAGCAACACAGACAACUGUGAGCACGUCAGAACUGUCCCCUGCUCUCUACCCUGGCUUCUCAGAGAAUAUCAAGUUGAAGGUCUCAGAACUUAUCUUCAAAGUGUUCCAUGGCUUGUGCCCAGGAUAUCUAAAAGACAAUCUAAAGUUACAGGAUGAAGACCAUGAUUGACAACUUUGCUUCUCUGGCACAAUGGAAUCUCUACCACAAGGGUAUUGAAAUGGCACCCGUAUCUCUCACCUGGAAUGACUGCAAAUUAAUUCUUGGCGCUAGAUGACAUCAGUGUAGCAGCGAAGUUCCAGUUUGAUUCCAAGACAGCACAAAAUGUAUUUUGAAUGUGAUGUUAGUGGAGGGACUGCAGAUCAGAACUGAGCUACUGUACUGGGAUAGAGUUGAGAGGAGGAAGGAACAGGAAUAGCAACAGAUG